AUUGAACGCUGGCGGCAGGCCUAACACAUGCAAGUCGAGCGGAUGAGGGGAGCUUGCUCCUCGAUUCAGCGGCGGACGGGUGAGUAAUGCCUAGGAAUCUGCCUAGUAGUGGGGGACAACGUUUCGAAAGGAACGCUAAUACCGCAUACGUCCUACGGGAGAAAGUGGGGGAUCUUCGGACCUCACGCUAUUAGAUGAGCCUAGGUCGGAUUAGCUAGUUGGUAGGGUAAAGGCCUACCAAGGCGACGAUCCGUAACUGGUCUGAGAGGAUGAUAAGUCACACUGGAACUGAGACACGGUCCAGACUCCUACGGGAGGCAGAAGUGGGGAAUAUUGGACAAUGGGCGAAAGCCUGAUCCAGCCAUGCCGCGUGUGUGAAGAAGGCCCUCGGGUCGUAAAGCACUUUAAGUUGGGAGGAAGGGCUCAUAGCGAAUACCUGUGAGUUUUGACGUUACCAACAGAAUAAGCACCGGCUAACUUCGUGCCAGCCGCCGCGGUAAAAC
rnacentral:rRNA from 1 species